UCAACUGUCAAACUGCAGUGUGUAUCAAUCUCUGUCUGUGAGUUCAUACAGCGAAAUGUCAAAAGCCAGUAUUUCUGUGGAUCAGGAUCAGUUCAGAUGUCCAGUGUGUCUGGAUCUACUGAAGGAUCCAGUGACGAUUCCCUGUGGACACAGUUACUGUAUGAGCUGCAUCACUGACUGCUGGAAUCAGGAGGAUCAGAAGAGAAUCUACAGAUGUCCAUUAUGCAAACAGACCUUCACACCAAGACCAGUUUUAGGUAAGAAUGUGGUGUUUGCUGAGAUGGUGGAGAAACUGAAGAAGACGAGACUCCAAGCUGCUCCUGUUCCUCCUCCUGUUCCUGCUCGUCGUCGUCAUCCUCAUACUGGAUCUGGAAAUGUUCAUUGUGAUUCCUGCACUGGAAGAAAACAGAAAGCAGUGAAGUCGUGUCUGGAGUGUCGAAGCUCUUACUGUCAAAAUCACCUUGAACAGCAUGAGAAUCUCUUCAGAGGUAAUAGACACAAUCUGAUGGACGCCACUGGACGACUGCAGGACAUGAUCUGUCCUCGACAUGAUAAAAUGCGGGAAAUUUACUGCCGUACUGACCAGCGGUGUAUCUGUACACUGUGUUUGGUGGAUGAACACAAAUAUCAUGACACUGUAUCAACUGCAGAAGCGAGGACAGAGGAACAGAGACAUUUUGAGGAGAAACAGAGAAACAUCCAGAAGAUAAUCCAGCAGAGAGAGAAAGAUCUUCAGCAGCUGAGAGAGGCUGUGGCGUCUCAUAAGCGCUCUGCACAGACCGCAGUGGAGGACAGUGAGAGGAUCUUCACUGAGCUCAUCCGCUCCAUUGAGAGACGUCGCUCUGAGGUGAUUCAGCUGAUCAGAGAUCAGGAACGAGCUGCAGUGAGUCGAGCUGAAGAACGACUGGAGCGACUGGAGCAGGAGAUCAAUGAUCUGAGGAGGAGAGACGCUGAGAUGAAGCAGCUUUCACAAACACAGGAUCAUGUUCAUUUCCUCCAGAGUUUUUCGUCUUUCUCUCUCUCUGGAUCUACAGACGGUUUCACUGUCAGUUCUCAUCUGUCCUUUGAUGAAGUAGUGAAAUCUGUCUCUCAACUCAGAGACAAACUGCUGCAGUUCUGCAGCGAGGAGACAGAAAAGAUAUCUGGAAGAGUGAAAACCAUCCAGGUCAUUUUGGCCCCUGAAUAUCAGACCAGAGAGGAGUUUCUACAGUAUUCUACUCUACUGACUCUGGACCCAAACUCAGUGAAUAACAGGCUCCGUCUGUCAGGGGGAAACACAGUGAUCACUGUUGCUGACACAAAUCAGCGCUAUCCUGAUCAUCCAGACAGAUUUGAUUGUUGGGGACAGGUGCUGUGUAGAGAGAGUGUAACUGGACGCUGUUACUGGGAGGUGGAGUGGAGUGGAGAUGGGAGAUCAGGAGUGGGUAUAUCAGUGACAUAUAAGAGCAUCAGGAGGAAAGGAAAUAGUAAUGAGAGUGUAUCCGGGUGUAACGAUCAGUCCUGGAAAUUGUUCUGCUCUCCAGACUAUUGCUCAUUCUGGCACAAUAACAUUGAGACUAAACUCCCUGUAGUGUCCAGCUGUAGAAUAGGAGUGUAUGUGGAUCACAGCGCAGGGAUUUUGUCCUUCUACAGCGUCUCAGACACAAUGAGCCUCAUCCACAGAGUCCAGACCACAUUCACUCAGCCGCUAUAUGCUGUGUUUGGAUUUGAUAUGCACUCAACAGUGAAACUGUGUCGUCUGACCAAUUAAAUUAUAUAGAGAUUCUACUGAUUAUUUUAUCAUAUUCACUACUAUUAUAACUUUUAAGUUAAAUUGUACUGAUUAUUUUGUCAUAUCAAAUUUUGAAUCAGUAUGAGUAAGAUUUCAUGGGUCUUAUUUUAAUAAAUAAAAAACUUCUACACAGUGGAAUGUAUGAUAAUAAAAUAAAGGUAACACUUUUUAGGGUCUUUUAACUAGUCGCUUAUUAGCAUGCAUACUACUAGAAUAUUGUCUGUUUAUUAGUACUUACUUAUUAAACACAUUCAUGUCUUAUUCUGCAAGACCUUAUUCUACAUUCUUAAUCGUACCCAAAACCUAAAUUUAACAACUACCUUACUAUUAUUAAGCAGUAAUUUAGGAGUUUAUUGAGGGAAAAAUCAAUAAUAGUUUAUGUGUUCCCUAUACUACAGUGUUACCAAAAUGAAAUUUAUUAUCAGAUGAAUUUAAUAAUUAGCGUAGUAUAAUGAAUGUUGAGUUUGAUGUAUCUCUUGUUUGACUGUCGACAAAUCUCUCAAUGAGAUAUUUUUAAUAAAUACAGUGGCAAGAAUUGUUUUCUUGUGAAGUUUGUUAACCCCGUGAUUUCUGCAUUGCUCAUCACAUGUGGUUUGAUCUUGAUUUAGUCAAGCACAAUAUGACCAAACUAGAAAAUGUUAUUUUUCACAUUUUUAUUAAAUACUUCAAGUAAUCAUUCACGGUGCAUGGUUGAGAAAGUAUGGGAGCCCUUGAAUUUAGUAUAAAACAAACAAACAAACAAACAAACAAACAAACAAACCUGGGUAUUCCAACAAACACAUUUUUGCCAAUGUAUAUUAAAAAAGCGCCAUCUUCUCCUGCAUGAUCAUAAUACACACAUUUCACACUCAUUUCUUUUUUGCUAACUCAGGUGUUUGUUCAAACGAAAUUGUACUUGAUGAGUAGAUUGUUUUUGAUGCUCAAAUUAAAUGCGUUUUGUUAUUAUUAUAACACGUCCAGUUCUGUUUAUUCUGACCCCUUUUUUAUUACAUGAAAAAUCAAUAUGCAUAUGUGAUUCAUAUUACAUUUAAUGUGGUAAAUAUGAGGUAUCAGCAAGUUAAAAUGGAAGCUCAGAUCAGGUGACUACGGGAAGCAGAAAGUUUCUGACUUCACAGCCUCUUCUCUUGAUUAUACGUCUCUUACUUUAGCUCUCUUCUCACCGAUCAGAAGCGCCUGGAAACGCCACAAAUACCUUCAGAUCGAUGGACGGAUCUUUUAUCCUUAUUCAAAGAGUCAAACAACAACAACAACAAACUGGAUAAACUCUCGCACGGCUGUUUGUGGUGAUUUCCUGCAGAUACAGUGAAAACUGUCCAGGUCAUUCUGGCUCCUGAAUAUCAGACCAGAGAGGAGUUUCUACAAUAUUUCCACCUGUUGACUCUGGAUCCAAACUCAGUGAAUAAUUGGCUUCGUCUGUCUGACGGAAACACAGCAAUCGCUUU